AAAGAAUUGUCUGAUUAUUUUAAAUAUUUUGAAGGAAGCAUUAGCAAACAUUUUUUAAAAUCUAAAAUGAACUUAGGCUUUCAGGAUAAGGAAAGAAGUAUUUGAUAACGCUAAAGGAUCUGCAAGAAAUAAUUUAAGAUAUGCAUAGUACUGUAGUGAAGAAUUAUUUUCCAGUGAGUACUGGUGAGAAUGUAAUUCUAAGCCUCAUCAAAAAAAAAAAAAAUACUGUCUCAGUUUUUCUUGAUGUACAUUUGUCUAAUAGGUGCCUAACUGGCUUUAGCUCCUGGAGACUUCAUGGACAUGUCCAUUCAGUUUCCAUUAUAGCAGCAUAGAAAUAAUUUGUGUCUGCUUUCCUGUGAGAUGUUUUUGCAAAUUCCCAGGCUAGCCAACAAUUUGUAUUCCUUGGCAAUCUCUCGUUCAAGAACUGGGUCCAGCCCACACCUGAUCCUGCUUAGUUUUUGACAUAGUAUUGCCACUGGAGAGAGUACUUUCAAUAAUAAUCAUAGAAUAUUGGAAAAGAGCAAGUUCUUAUGAUUUUUAAUUAUGAUUUUUCCCUCAUAGUUUUGAAUUAAAACUGGGGUGAAAUUAUUGUCUAUAAGCAGUGGGUUUGUAUAUGCCUGCUAAGUUACCCUGCUUCUGCCAGGUCUUUUAUUUCAGGAAGCCAACAAAUGAAACUAUAGUAAUAUGAAACGGGUGAGAAAAAUGAUGGAAGGUAUUUGAUAUAAGCUGAAACCAGUCAUUCUAAUGUUAGCACAGAAGAGAAUCAAUAUGGUUGUUUAUACAACCUUUUGAAUCAUACAUUAACAGUUGUGUUCUUGGAAUAUGCCAAAUCAAAACAAACCAACCACAGUAUAAGCUAACAUGAUUGUCUGGUUUUGGCUUGGCCAUAAUGGUUUACAAGCCAUGGUUGAUAGCUUAAAUGUUUUGACUGAUCAUAGCCAAUGUAUAGCAGAUUUUGUCUUGAAAUUUCAAAUCUAUGUAAUAAAUCAUGCUAGGUACAAAGUGAUUGAUUGACUCCUAACGAUCAUAUAGACAUAUAUUAGAUAGACAAAGAAUACUCAGUAGCAGGGUGGUAAUACUUCUGCAUUAUGCCAGGUUGAACCAGAUGUCUAGUUUUCCCACUACAAUAGCAAAUAAAGAGCGAGAUGUCUUCUCAGUCUUCCAAAGUCCUAGAGAAAGACACCAACUCUUCUCAUUUUUGUAGCAUUUGUUCAGUUGUCUUCAAUACCGUUUCCAGGAUUUUUACCCAGACCAGACAUGAGUACAGACUAAUUUCCUCUGAUGACAAUAACAAUGCACAACGUCUGCCUCUCAAACUAACACAAUGAGCUGAAGCUUCAAAGGGAAAUAGGCUAAGGCCUUUCUGCACAGCUUUUCCAAUGCGAAGUCCGGGAAGCAAAUGCCAUUUGCCUUUCUCCCCAUCAGCUUGGCAGCCGAGCCCUCGUUCCCGCCCCACCCACGCGUCAGCCUUUGGCUGGCCCCUGGGACGGAGGGGAAAGGAAGGGGAGGAUCAAUUCCGCCCCUCCCCUCCCGAACACGAAAGGUGACGUCAUUAUCCGGGCUCUUCUCACCGCGGGUCACAAUGGAGCCGAAACGGAGCUCAACCGAAACGAAACGGCUGGGCAGCCACCCGCCUCAGUGAUCGCGGCCCGGCCUCGUUAACUCGGGCCCCGCUCGGCCGCCGUCGCCGUCCAGCCCAGCCAGCAACGCUGUCAGGCCUUGGCCCCUCCCCCGCCCUCUACACACGGCACACCAAGCAGACCCUACCACAGUACGGCGGCGACCCUAGCCCCACAUAAAGCAAGGCGUGAGCGGCUGCUGCUCCCUGCACUGUCUCGGGACACGGAAGGGGGCUGUGGGAGUGACUGACUGACUGACACUCAGGAAAGGGAGGGGGUCACGUUGGCCGCCGCGAACGCUGUUUGGGUGGCGGGGCCGGCGCCGCUGCGUUGAGUCGGAGUCUGCGCUGCAUAUGCUGUGAGCCGAGCCCUCCUAGAGCCGCCAUAUUGCCCGGGACUCAGACGCUCCGUCUCUGCUGCUGCUGCUGCCGCCGCCACCUCCGUCGCGAUUUUGCUCCUAGGCGCAGCGCGGGUUUCCCCCCCUCUUCUAGAGGUAGCCUCGUUGGUUUCUCGCUGCUGGCCUUGCCAGUCCAGGCCCCCUUCCUAUCUCCUAUUCCCAUCCCCUUCUCCAGGGAUUGAAGGUAUCCGAUUUCCCCGGAUGAGGUGGUAUAGCCCGCAGGCCUAGCUCAGCUUAACAGGAACCACAGGACGAGAGAGAGCGUCAGCCCGCCCGGGCCCUGCAACACACCAGCAGUGGGGCGGUCGCCGAAAAGCUGGUGACGCAAAACUAAAAAGAAGAAAAGAAAGGAAAAUACAAGAAAAGGUUCCCCCGGAAAGGAGGCUCGGUCGGGAAAGCGACGCGGGACACCUUCCUGCAAAACCCGGCGUAGGAAAGCCGGCUUCUCUAGCAGCCACCGCCACUCGUCUUUUCCUUGGGAUGAGGCGCAGCCCCGUUGGUUGUUGCGGCGGCGGCGGCUUGUGCCGCCUGGGAUGAGAAACUCUUCGGCCACACCCGCCGCAGCCUCCUCCUCCCUGCAUCGCCAGCGGCAGCGGCGCCUGGGAGCAGAGCGGGCCUCGGCAUUAGAACCAAGAGUAGCAGCAGGAAAAGGCGACACUGUGUGGGGUUGAGACCAGUGGGACUCAGCCUAAUUGAGACGUGGAUCCAAAACACCACUAGCUGGAACUAGCUGAUGUAUGAAUUGUAUUUAGAAAAAGUGUUCAAGCAAUUCUGUGGUUCAGACAUAACAUUCACUAAAAACUAAAGAGCAGAAGUAGGUAAAAGCAAAAAUACACUGGCAUUUCCAAAAAUGUUCUGAAAGCAUAAGGUAAAGUAUACUGAAUUGUGAGUCGAUCUGGAUAUUACAAGAAAAACAAGUCUUAUGCCUAUAAUUUUAGAAGUGUAUUUCCUUAUAGUUACCAUUAUAAAUGCAUUUAACAAAUA